rnacentral:rRNA from 1 species
GACGAACGCUGGCGGCGUGCCUAAUACAUGCAAGUAGAACGCAGUUGCGAACGGGUGAGUAACGCGUAGGUAACUGCCUCAUAGCAGGGGAUAACUAUUUGAAACGAUAGCUAAUGCCGCAUACUGUGAGAUGGACCAGCGUUGUGUUAGCUAGUUGGUUGGGUAAAGGCUCACCAAGUAGACUAUACAUAGCCGACCUGAUAGGGUGCUUGGCCAGACGGGGACUGAGAAACGGCCCAGACUCCUAAGGGAGGACGCAGUAAGGAAUCGUGGGUAAUGGACGGAAGGCUGACCAAGCAGCGCCGAGUGAGUGAAGAAUGUUUUCGGAUCGUAAAGCUCUGUUGUGAGAGAAGCGGUAACUACCCAGAAAGGGACGGCUAACUACGUGCCAGCAGCCGCGGUAAUAC